rnacentral:rRNA from 1 species
GACGAACGCUGGCGGCGUGCCUAAUACAUGCAAGUCGACCUUAGUGGCGCACGGGUGAGUAACACGUGGGUAACAUGCCCAUCAGAAGGGGAUAACACUUGGAAACAGGUGCUAAUACCGUAUACUGAUGGAUGGACACGCGGUGCAUUAGCUAGUUGGUGAGGUAACGGCUCACCAAGGCCACGAUGCAUAGCCGACCUGAGUGGGUGAGGGGCAACAUUGGGACGGAGAAAAGGCCCAAACUCCAACGGGAGGCAGCAGUAGGGAAUCGUCGGCAAUGGACGAAAGUCUGACCAAGCAACGCCGCGGGAGUGAAGAAGGGUUUCGGGUCGUAAAACUCUGUUGUUAGAGAAGCGGUAUCUAACCAGAAAGCCACGGCUAACUACGUGCCAGCCGCCGCGGUAAUAC